rnacentral:tRNA from 1 species
GGGCGAUUAGCUCAGUUGGGAGAGCACCUGCCUUACAAGCAGGGGGUCACUGGUUCGAGCCCGGGUAUCGCCCACCA